UUUUUUUUGUUCUUUUUUUUUAUUGGAAACCAUUUACUUGUUUGUUCAUUUGGGGACUUCAUUGUGAAAUUGCUUUGGUUAGGGUUUAGUUGUUUUGCUGUUUUUGUAACUAUUGGAAUUAAUAUAACUGAGCUUUCGAUUUACUAAAGUUUAGCGAUUGGAGUUCUAAUUGCGGAUAAGAGUUUCUUAAUGUCGGUGUUCUUGUUUUUGCUUUUGUUGUUGGGGAAAUGGCUUUCUUUUAACUUCUGCCUGGUCUGGGAUUAAGCUUAGUUGUUGUCGUUGUCUAGUGUAUGCUGUGGGAGGGUUUUUUUCUCCCCCCUGCUUGAUUAUGCUUAGUGCCUGAAAUUUAUUGUUUAUAUGAAUUGAAGAUAGCAAUUAAUUUUAGUAAAAGCUGCACUUUUUUUAAUCAAUUGCUUGGUUGCUUUUAUUUGUUUUUAUGUGAAGAAACUUUUUUUCUUUAUUAGAUGAUGCAUCUACUUGUUUUUUGAAUAGAGGCAAAUGGGGGAGCGCCUGAUAAGCAGCGGGAAACCGUUCCUAAAGAUCCACCCGGAAUACAAGGUUCAGCUGCCAAUGAAAUUGAUAAUCCAGGUGGUAGUUAUGACAGGGGUGGGCUUACUGAACUGGAGCUAAUUCUGAAGCAGAAGACAUUUACAAGGUCUGAGAUUGAUAGAUUGAUGGCUCUGCUGCAAUCAAGAACUGUUGAUGUUGAUCUGCCUCUUGGGAAUCAGGGAGAGAAGUCUGAAGCGAUCCCUUCAAAAGGUUUUUUAUCCCCAGAUAGGAAGGAGUAUCCAAAUACGCCAAUUAAAGACAAUGGACUUGAGAACCCCCACAUUUCAACUCCCAAUGUCCUUGAUGAGGAUGUUGCUUCACCUGCGGAGCUUGCAAAAGCUUACAUGGGUAGCAGGCCUUCAAAAAUAUCCCCAUCAGUGCUGGGUUUGUGCAGUCGACCGACUGCGGAGCAUUCAAUUGCGCAGAUUGAUCGACUGUUCCCUUCAAAGUCCCCGAUCAUGUCAGUUGUGCCAAGGUCUUCACGUCAUGUUGUAUCUGUUGAAAAUGGUUUUGUCACGCCAAGAUCUCGUGGUCGUUCUGCUAUUUACAGCAUGGCUCGAACACCAUAUUCCAGAGUUCACUCAACCUCUACCCUUCAGGGUGCUGGGACAGAAACUAAUGUUCUUGGUGCGCCAUCAUUUUCAUCUCAAGGCAUCUGGGGGAACAACAGAUUUUCUGGAUCUAAACAAGGGGCUUUAAAGCGAAGGAGUUCAGCUCUGGAUAAUGAUAUAGGAUCUGUUGGUCCUAUACGCCGAAUUCGUCAGAAAUCUAACCUCCUGCCUUCUUCUAGCACUCUUUCUAUCCGUGGAACUGGCCUUGGUUCUGAUGCUGCUCAACAACCAUCCUCGUCACAGAAGCUAGUUGUAGCAAGCGAAGUAUCUAUAGAAAAUGAUGAUAAUAGUAUUCAUGGUUCUAGUUCUACCUCUGUCCCCUCUAAGUCCAGUGAGAUGGCUUCAAAGAUAUUGCAGCAACUGGAUGUGUUAGUCUCAUCAAGGGAGAAGUCACCUACUAAGUUGUCACCAUCCAUGCUACGUGGACCAGCUCUUAGAAGCCUCGAGAAUGUAGAUUCUUCAAAAUUUCUGGAGACUGUUCAAGAUAAUAAUAAGACAGAUGUUAAACGUGAUGCCUCACUACCUGAUGUACGAGAUUCUCUGUCUCAAGAGCAAGAUAAGGUUGAGGAAAAUGGUCCAAAGAAGCUCAGUGUGUCUUAUGAAAAGUUAGCUUCUGCAGUAAAUGGUAUAGAUCCCACAAAUUUGGUGAAGAAUAAUAUGUCUGAUUUCAAAAAUAUAUCUUUUCCCAUGGUGAAUUCUGUUGCCCAGCCCCCUUUGCAGAAGAAAUGGGCUUUCCAGAUGAGUGCACAUGAGGAUUAUCUGGAGCUUGAUGAUGAUGACCAUUUUGAUAGGAGUGCAUCUGCUGUGUUGGCUGAAGAGAAACAGAAGCUGGAUACCACUUUAGUUGAAAGUAAGACCAGUUCUGCUGAGGCCAUUACAUCAGAGAAGCCUGCAGCUUUUUCUCAAGCCAAACCUGAAGCAAGUUCCAUAUUCAACCAAAAAACUCCAGUAGCUUCUGAUGGGUCUGCAUUUACUGAAAAGAACAGUGGAUUUUCUGUUCCAUCUGCUGCACCUUUGCCCAGUGUAACUGUCCAGCACGCUGUUGUUGUGGACAAGCAGGCAACUGUAACAUCUGAUAAAGCUUCAUCACCAAAUGAAUUAAGUGCUGCUCCUCCUAUACUUAACUUUGGGGACAAAAUUGUUUCUCCCAAGGAACCAAAUGGUAUCCCUUCUAUAUCUAAUUUCAGCUCUAAAACUGUGGGUGUAGUACCACUGUUCACAUUUGCUUCCACUUCAUCAGUUGUGAGUGAGACUGCAGGCCUAAAGUUUGGUACUUCAAACCCUAGAUCAGAAAGCUCAAGCAGCUUUGCUUUUAAUGCUGUUGAUGCAACAAAGUCUGGUACAAAAGAGCCUGAGUCAGACAAAACUGAUAAUAUAAACAGUUUGAAGGCUGGUGUCUUCAGUUCAAAUGAAACCUUGUCUUCUUCUGUAUCAACUUCCUCACCUGCAACAGGCAUAUUUUCAUUUGGCAUGGGUACCAAUACUUCAAGUUUAAACGGGUCUCUUGUAGAUUCUAUACAUUCAUUUUCUUCCCCUGAUCCAACUCUAGUUUCUGAUAAAAUUGUUGGCCAAAAUUCAUCUAGCAGCUAUAGCAACACAGUUGUUGACAGUGGUGCCAUUACCUCUACCUCUGCUAUGGCUACUACAGGUCCGAACACCAACAGCAGUAGCAACGUUUCUGUGUCGGCUUCAGCACCUUCCUAUGAAUCUAGACCUGCUUUCAAAUUUGGUUCCUCAUCCACUCCCAACUCAUCAAUAGCAGCAACUAGUGGUGUAGAAUUGACAGAAAUCAGGAAGGAAACAAGCUUUGGCAAUCUAAUGAGUGCUCCUUUUGCCAGUACAUCCUCUGUGGUUACAAGCACUGGGGGCAGUCUUUUUGGUGGUACAUCCUCUGCAAUGAUGAGCACAGGAAGUAUUGUUUUAGAUGGUACAUCAUCUGCAGUUGCCAGCACUGGAAGUAGCACUUUAUUUGCUACAUCCUCUUCUGUUACAAGCACAGGCAAUGGUAUUUUUAGUUUUAAUGCUGGAUCAAAUACUUCAGCCGCAGCUGCAACUAAUCAAUCUCAGGGUUUUAAUCCUUUUGGUGCCACUAGCGCUCAGGAAUCUGGAUCUGUAUUUGCUGCUACAACUCAGAGCAUGCCCAUUCAAUUUAGCUCAUCUGCAUCAUCUCCUUUUGGGUUGACUGCGAAUAUGACCUUUUCUUCUGGAAGUUCCUUAUUUAGUUCGUCAAAUAAUAUGAAUAAACUUUUCAGUUCUGGUGCUACUUUUGGACUGACUUCUACUUCUUCAGAGACUAACACUGUUGGCUCUGCUAGUAGCUCUAUGUCAACAGGGUUUGGUUCUAGCUGGCAAACACCUAAAUCUCCCAUUUUUACUUCUGCAUCUUCCUCUACUGGGUUUGCGUAUGGAGCAUCCUCAGCUUCUAAUGCUACUAGCACCACAUCCAUCAUGUUUGGAUCAUCUGCUUCAUCUGGUUCUAUUUUUUCCUUAAGCUCACCUGCAGCAUCUACUCCAUCACAACCUGUGUUUGGUAGCCCAAAUCCUGCCUUCGCAUUUGGGUCAUCUCCAGCGGGUAAUAGUGAUCAAAUGAACAUGGAGGAUAGCAUGGCUGAGGACACUGUUCAGGCAACCACAUCUACAGUUCCUUUGUUUGAUCAACAACCGGUUGCACCUCCAUCUUCUGGCUUUGUUUUUGGCUCUACGGCUCCAUCAGGAGGGAAUCAAUUUGGCUCAACAGCUCCCUCUGGAGCAAAUCCUUUUCAAUUUGCAAGCCAGUCGAAUCUGGCAGCAUCACAGAACCAAUCUCCAUUCCAGGCUUCUGGUAGUCUAGAGCUCAAUGCAGGAGGGAGCUUCUCAUUGGGCACUGGUGGUGGUGAAAAGUCUGGCAGAAAAUUUUUGAGAGUCAGAAAAACGCAGCGGAAGAAGUGAACAUCAAUCAUUGAUGCUAAGUUGCUUUUCUCAUUGCAGUCCCUGGACAGUUGCGAUUGAUAGACAAAUAAUUAUAAUGAUGGGAGAUGAACAGCAUUGAUGUGUUCUUGCUGUUAAUCACCCAGAUUAUUCAGUGAUGAUGCAGGCAAAACCAUCCUUUGAGGCUCUGGGAAUGUGCUGAUUCUGUAUGGUCUCUAAUUAGUCUUCUUGGGGGCGAAUUUUAUGGUUGCAAGGCAGACAUAGGUUGUCACAAUUUUGUACCAGUUUUCCUUAGCAAAUCUAAGAAUAUUUGUGCUGUAGUAGUUGUAGCUCAGGAUUUAUUACUGGGCAAUUUGCUAGCUACUGUGUUCUCUGUACUUGUCAUAUGUAAUGUAACAUAAAGAGAAAUUGAUGUGAAUUUGCUUAAGAAAAGGUACCUUUACUGGUUGCAAGCGUGUGCUGUUUUGGUUGAUCCAUGGUUAAAUCUUAAGCCAAACGUACAGAAUUGAUGGAUGCUGUGGGUGAUCAGAUCAACUGCUGUGCUUCGAUACAGUUAAUUUGUUGGUGUUGAUCUUGAUUUGUUUGUGUGAAUUGUA
rnacentral:misc_RNA from 1 species